GGAGAGCAUGGAUCCUGAGGUCCCAGGAUUGUCAGCUGACCUCUGUCCUGUGUGCCCAGUGGCCCCAGGUGACGUGUCUUCAAGAAGAGGCUGAGCUGCGGUGCUUGUAAGGUCUCAGCCUUAGAUCCAAGGACAGUCCAAGGAAGUCCUAAGACCAUGGAGUUGGUGAUCUGGGAUCUGGGUUUGCUGAUAUUUCUCACCGUGAAUCUCUUGGUGGUGUUUGUGGGCACGAGAGGGGCAGAGAAUGGAGAGUGAGGCUACCACAUGAAGCGUCACCAGAGCUGCUCCCUGCUGCCUGCUCAGAGCACCCCGGAUCCACUGUUCAAUCUGCACAAGAUUCGGGGUCCAGACAUGGGAGACUUCAGCUGCCUCAGAGGACCGUGGACAGGGAAGGCCAGCCUCGCAUCCCUCUGUCCAUGCCUGGAAUGACUUUAAUAACCAAGAGUUUUAUUUUUGAAUUUGUAGCUGUCGUUCACUUUUUACCCACCCAUUCAAUAAACCUUACAGAAUUGCUCCA
rnacentral:lncRNA from 1 species